rnacentral:lncRNA from 1 species
CUAUUUAAUAAUACUUCUUAUACACGUUUAUUUAUUUAUUGUGUGUUCUUUCAUAGAUCAAUUUAAUAAAUUGGGGUCUCCCAGCGCUGCGUCAAGUGGACGCUUUCUCCCCACCCCUCCACUCCAGUAGUGCUUUUGCCACCUUUUGAGCCCCAGCUCAAAGACCAGCAUCAUGACAAGGUUCAUGCUUCUUUACCUUGGUCCUGUCGAUGUUUCAUUGCUCUGGUAUUCAUCAAAGCGUGCCCCAGCUAAUGACCCAACACAUGACUGGCAUGCUACAAUGCAACCAGGCAUGAAUACAGGAACAGGUAAACAGCUGAGCCGUAAAAGUUUCUCUCCAAGAAUGUUUUCAACUAAAUGCCAUCGAAUACUGUCUGGUGAUACACGCUGCUACUAUGAUGGAACAAAACAAUGUGAGCAAUCUUUCUUUAAAGCUGCUACCCACCAGUCAAAGCUGCAGCUGCCAAAGAAGCCUUCUCCUCCACUUACUUGCUCCCUUCCCUCCUCCUCCCUGCAGGUUCUUUUACGGCACUUAACUUUACAAAACACAGUUGUGAGGCUGAUCUUACAUGCAAUUACAGAUCAGCACCAGUAUAUUUAUUGCAAACUCCUUGAACAUCAGGACAUCAAAAAAAAAAAAAAAAAAAAAAAAAAAAAGGGAAAAGAAAGAAACAAUAUUCCAUUGCAUAAUUACGAAUAGGUUUUUGUAGCCAAUGAACCAGAAAUGUAUUCAGAAGAAAAAAAAAAAAAAGAAAAAAGAAAAGAAAAACAGGAUAUUUGUAAACAGUUCAAACAAAACACGAUGCUGCCUCCAGUGAAACAUUUCACUGCAUUGCCAGCUCUGUUUCAAAUGGGCACGUAGGCAACCUGUUGCAAGAGAGUUGUGAAGCCAUGAGCUGAAACUUGAGGAGUUAAUUUUCAAACAUUGCACUUUCAGGGUCUGAGCACAUUUGAAACGUGAAAAAUCUGCACACACUCUGGGAUCUGAUAGAGAUUUGGGAUCUCAAACAGCAUUUCUUAAGAAAACCUGGUUAUUCCUUUCAAAACAAAAUGGUGGAAACACCAGAACCACACAAAACCAAACCACAACUGGUUGUCUCCCAUGAGAGACUGCAACGUGAGAAAAUAUUCAACUCCUUGCAUAGCUAUUUAAAUGGCCAAUAAAUUUUGCUGGAAUCACCCA